CUUUAUUUUGAGCAGCUCUGUUCCUAAUGGCAACCUGGGAGGCUGGCUUUCCAGCCUGUUUUCAAGCAGUGCUCAGCAAAGCCACAUCACCGCAAGGUGUUAGGAAUGCCCCCGUGAGGAAGAGGAAGUGAACUGAGGACUCAGCAAGAAGAUGGCCAUCUAUGAACCAGGAAGCGGACCCUCACCAGACAGAAAAUCUGCCAGCACCUUGAUCUUGGACUUCCAGCCUCCAGAAUCAUAAGAAAUAAAUUUCUCUUGUUUAUAAUUCUCUAUGGUAUUGUUGGUAUAGCAAUGUGAACUAAGACAUAAGUUGAGAUCUGAGUGAUAAGAAGUAGCAAAUCAUGUUAGUUAGGAGGACAGAGUGCAUUGAGCAGAGGCCUCAACUAACAUGAAGUACCAAAAGUAGAACGAAGUUUAAAAAGUCCCAGUGGGGCUAGGAAGAAGGCCAGUGGGCCUAGAGUGGGGCGGGUGAGGGCAGAAGGCAAGGAGGUAUGUGUGGAGAAGUGGCUGACCCUGGUUUACAUAGCUCGGUC
rnacentral:lncRNA from 1 species